rnacentral:lncRNA from 1 species
GGAGAGGGAGAGAGCGAACGAGCUAGAGACAGAGAGAGAGAGAGAGAGAGAGAGAGAGAAUUUUUAAAUGGAAAGAGAAGUCCAUGUGUCCCAUUCAGCCAAAUAACACUGAAAAUAUGAGUCAUAAAUGCUCCCAUUUGUCCAUGGGUCCAGGUCCCUCCAAUUGUUGUUUCAAUCUUUCUUCCUUUUCCUCAUUACAAUCAGCCCUUGAUUUUUGCAUAGGUCAUUUAGUAAAUCCCUUUUUUGCAAACAUGGAAAAAUAGAGAAUGUGUGCUCUGAGUAAAUCAUCUAAAAUCAUAUAAAUCAAUUAUAUCAUUGAAUCUACUUCAUAGGCAAAUAUUAUUUUGUAAAGCUGAAUAGCUACUUUUCUAAAUGCUUAAUGGCAUAUUAUUUCUCAUUGUCACGUGUUAUCUAUCCUAUUGAGACUCUUUAGUAACAUAUUGUCCAAUUUUCAAAAGAGAUAUAAAAAUGUUUAAUUGACUCAAUUUAAAAAGCUUAAUUCAAUGAGAGGGUAGACGGGCACCUUGAUUCUGGUCUGCCGCUUUAGCUCCUCCUCGCUUUAAGGAAACUUUGAAGGUUAGGUGUUCGCAGAAGCAGCCAGGAGGAUGAACCUCAAGAGGGUUCAGCUAGUUUUGACUCUGAUUUCUGGCUUCCUCCUGGAUUCUUUGUUCCUCGUCCAGUUCCUUCGUUGAGGUCUCCUGGAAACUCUUUCUUGGUAUUCCAUCCUUUUUUUCUCAGCUCACAGAUUGAUAUCUCUAAUGAAGGUACCUCAACGAGCGCUC